AUUGGCAUGGGUAGUACUGGAUAGUGCUGUCGACCUCUCAAUGUAUUAGGUUUAUCCAACUCGUUGAAUGGUGUGGCGGGAUAUUUCUGGUAUUGUUGGCCCGGCCUUACAACAACCAAACAAGUUUGACCUCAAAUCAGGUAGGAAUACCCGCUGAACUUAAGCAUAUCAAUAAGCGGAGGAAAAGAAACCAACAGGGAUUGCCUUAGUAGCGGCGAGUGAAGCGGCAAAAGCUCAAAUUUGAAAUCUGGCGCCUUCGGUGUCCGAGUUGUAAUUUGAAGAUUGUAACCUUGGGGUUGGCUCUGUCUAUGUUUCUUGGAACAGGACGUCACAGAGGGUGAGAAUCCCGUGCGAUGAGAUGCCCAAUCCUAUGUAAGGUGCUUUCGAAGAGUCGAGUUGUUUGGGAAUGCAGCUCUAAGUGGGUGGUAAAUUCCAUCUAAAGCUAAAUAUUGGCGAGAGACCGAUAGCGAACAAGUACAGUGAUGGAAAGAUGAAAAGAACUUUGAAAAGAGAGUGAAAAAGUACGUGAAAUUGUUGAAAGGGAAGGGUUUGAGAUCAGACUCGAUAUUUUGUGAGCCUUGCCUUCGUGGCGGGGUGACCCGCAGCUUAUCGGGCCAGCAUCGGUUUGGGCGGUAGGAUAAUGGCGUAGGAAUGUGACUUUACUUCGGUGAAGUGUUAUAGCCUGCGUUGAUGCUGCCUGCCUAGACCGAG
rnacentral:rRNA from 1 species